GACGAACGCUGGCGGCGUGCUUAACACAUGCAAGUCGAACGAAGUGGCGAACGGGUGAGUAACGCGUAAUCAACCUGCCCUUCAGAGGGGGACCACAGUAGGAAAGGACUGCUAAUACCGCAUACUGAAGGAGGGGGUUGCGUCUUAUGAGCUAGUUGGAGGGGUAACGGCCCACCAGGGCGAUGACCAGGGGCCGGGCUGAGAGGAUGAGCUGCCACAUUGGGACUGAGACACGGCCCAGACUCCUACGGGAGGCAGCAGUGGGGAAUCGUCCGCAAUGGACGAAAGUCUGACGGAGCAACGCCGCGUGAGUGAAGAAGGUUUUCGGAUCGUAAAACUCUGUUGUUAGAGAAGCGGUAUCUAACCAGAAAGCCACGGCUAACUACGUGCCAGCAGCCGCGGUAAUAC
rnacentral:rRNA from 1 species